rnacentral:rRNA from 1 species
UACGUAGGGCGCAAGCGUUGUCCGGAAUUAUUGGGCGUAAAGAGCUCGUAGGCGGCUUGUCACGUCGGGUGUGAAAGCCCGGGGCUUAACCCCGGGUCUGCAUUCGAUACGGGCAGGCUAGAGUGUGGUAGGGGAGAUCGGAAUUCCUGGUGUAGCGGUGAAAUGCGCAGAUAUCGGGAAGAACACCCGUGGCGAAGGCGGCUCUCUGGGACGGUACUGACGCUGAGACGCGAAAGCGUGGGGAGCGAACAGGG